rnacentral:rRNA from 1 species
AGUGAACGCUGGCGGUAGGCCUAACACAUGCAAGUCGAACGGCAGCACAGUAAGAGCUUGCUCUUACGGGUGGCGAGUGGCGGACGGGUGAGGAAUACAUCGGAAUCUACUUUUUCGUGGGGGAUAACGUAGGGAAACUUACGCUAAUACCGCAUACGACCUACGGGUGAAAGCAGGGGAUCUUCGGACCUUGCGCGAUUGAAUGAGCCGAUGUCGGAUUAGCUAGUUGGCGGGGUAAAGGCCCACCAAGGCGACGAUCCGUAGCUGGUCUGAGAGGAUGAUCAGCCAAAAUGGAACUGAGACACGGGCCAGACUCCUAAGGGAGGCAGGAGUUGGGAAUAUUGGACAAUGGGCGCAAGCCUGAUCCAGCCAUACCGCGUGGGUGAAGAAGGCCUUCGGGUUGUAAAGCCCUUUUGUUGGGAAAGAAAAGCAGCAGGUUAAUACCCCGCUGUUCUGACGGUACCCAAAGAAUAAGCACCGGCUAACUUCGUG